rnacentral:rRNA from 1 species
UGGGGAAUAUUGGACAAUGGGCGCAAGCCUGAUCCAGCAAUGCCGCGUGAGUGAUGAAGGCCUUAGGGUUGUAAAGCUCUUUUACCCGGGAUGAUAAUGACAGUGCCGGGAGAAUAAGCCCCGGCUAACUCCGUG